rnacentral:rRNA from 1 species
AGAUUGAACGCUGGCGGCAUGCCUUACACAUGCAAGUCGAACGGCAGCACGGGAGCAAUCCUGGUGGCGAGUGGCGAACGGGUGAGUAAUACAUCGGAACGUGCCCAAUCGUGGGGGAUAACGCAGCGAAAGCUGUGCUAAUACCGCAUAAGAUCUACGGAUGAAAGCGGGGGAUCGCAAGACCUUGCGCGAAUGGAGCGGCCGAUGGCAGAUUAGGUAGUUGGUGAGGUAAAGGCUCACCAAGCCUUCGAUCUGUAGCUGGUCUGAGAGGACGACCAGCCACACUGGGACUGAGACACCGGCCCAGACU